UGUCGCGCCGCUAUAAUUAUUGCACUUUCCCUAUUGCUAUUCAUUCUUUCUUGUCUCCUCCUUUUUUUAGUAGCUACUAUCUCCCUGUUGGGGCAUAUUCCAAAGCCUCCUACUACUAUAUAUGUUCUAUUUUCUGUGACACGAUUGCUCAAUUUAUAAUUCAAAUCAAAACAUUCAACAUAUUCAAAUCAAAUCAAAAUUCAAUCAAAACAACAAUAUUAUUAGUGUAAAUAAUAGCUAGUGGGUUGUAUCGUACAUAACUCGACCUCAAGGUGAGCGGCAAAUUUUGCACCUAGCUGGACAGGACGCUGAUCGAUCGAAAAUCAUUUUCAAUUAAAUAAUUCUGGCCAUGAAAUGCUCUAAGAAUCUAUAAUAUUUAAUAAAAGACAAAAUUUAAAGAAUUACUGAUAGACGCAGGAUUGUUGCACUUUCAGCGUGUGCAGGGCAGAUGUUGUCAAGGAAGUGCUGCUGGCGCUGUUGAAGGACAAUUUAUUAUUAAAAAACUAAAAAAAAAUAGUACCCUUACAAUAUUCGAGGCAUGUAAAAACUGUGCAUGUGUCACAGCAGGCUGUGAAUACUUGUAACAAAAGUCAGAAAAUCUAGUUUAUACCGAUAUUUUGAUGGAGCAAAGAAUAUAUCCACAAUUGAACGUUGAUUUGAUUUGUUCGCUUUUCAAUUUUUUUGCUUGCCUCAAAAACACUGGUUAUAAAAGCUGCGGAAAUUUAUACAGCCAAAACAAUUCAAUGGUUUCAACACAACGUUGAGAAAUUUUCUAAAAUAAUCGGUAAACAAUAAAAAUAAAUGCUUGAUUGAGCAAAACACUUGUGCUCGGGAUUACAAAUUGCAGACGUAUAUAUAUAUCAAUCAAAAUGUGCGAUCUGUAUUGUAUAACAGGUAAAAAAAAGAAUGUUGUUUAUAAAAAGUAGAAAUAUACGCGUGUGCAGUAAAGAAUGAAUGUAUAUUUAAUAAUAAAGAAAAAAUAAAAAGAUCGACCAAAAAUUUUACAUUAGUUAUCAGACACCUUAAGUUGACGGUUUUUUUAUUAUUAUUGAAUUGCAUACACGUUAUACGUUUUUUACAUCUCCAUCGUUACAAGCUUUUCGCUUGUCGCACAUGUUUUUUUAAUUAUUUUUUUUGUUACUCGAGCGAAUUGAAUUCCAUUAAUCUAAUUUUUUUUCCUAAUUUAUGUUUUAUUGUUAAAAGAACUCCUCGUGUUCUUUUGGAAGGGAUACCACCGAACUCUGCAAAAUCCAAGAAAAUAAAAUAACGACGUAAAUUUUGCAUUCAAAACAAAUGAAUAAAGAUAUACACAGCAAUGAUUUAUAUUCCAGAUUAGAUGAAUUAGAAAUUUAAGCUUCCAACAAUUGCAUUUUAAUGAUUUCUACAGUGAAUGCAUUGUAUAGAUUCGAUUUCAGUAAUUCACAAUAUUAAAUCAAGAAUUUAAAACUUGAUACAGCUGCAACUGGUGAAAAAAUGAGAUUGGUAAAAUUAUGAUGUUUCCAAUUGAAUUUAACAAAUGUGAAAAUAAAGAUUGAAAAAAUG
rnacentral:lncRNA from 1 species